GAAUUUAAUAUAAUUUUUAAAUUUAUUUAAGGAAAUAAAUUUUAUUUUAAUAUUUAUAUUUUUUAUUAGCAGGAUAAUUAAAUAAAAUGAACUUUAAUUUUAAGACAAUUUUAACAUUGAUUAAUGAAAUUUUUAUGGAGGAUUGAUUAUUAAAAUAAAAUUUAAAAAAAAAAAUUUUUUUUUUAUUGAUUAUUAAAAUAAAAAAAAAUUUUUUUUAUAAUAAUUAUAAAAAAAAUUAAUUACCUUAGGGAUAACAGCGUAAUAUUUUUAAAAAGAUCAUAUUAAUAAAAAUGAUUGC
rnacentral:rRNA from 1 species